GGGGAGGUAGCUCAGCAGUUAAGAGCACUGGCUGCUCUUCCAGAGGAUCCGGGUUCAAUUCCCAGCACCCACA
rnacentral:tRNA from 1 species